AGAAUCAACGCUGGCGGCGUGCCUAACACAUGCAAGUCGAACGCGAAAGCCCCGCAAGGGGCAAGUAGAGUGGCAAACGGGUGAGUAACACGUGGGUGACCUGCCUUCGAGCGGGGGAUAACGUCCCGAAAGGGACGCUAAUACCGCAUAACAUCCUGCCUUUGAAGAGGUGGAGAUCAAAGCUGGGAUCGCAAGACCCGGCACUUGAAGAGGGGCCCGCGCCUGAUUAGCUAGUUGGUGGGGUAAUGGCCUACCAAGGCAACGAUCA
rnacentral:rRNA from 1 species